rnacentral:piRNA from 1 species
UUGCCUCAAAGAUAAAUGAGCUAGUGG